UACGAAGGGGGCUAGCGUUGCUCGGAAUCACUGGGCGUAAAGGGUGCGUAGGCGGGUCUUUAAGUCAGGGGUGAAAUCCUGGAGCUCAACUCCAGAACUGCCCUUUGAUACUGAGGAUCUUGAGUAUGGGAGAGGUGAGUGGAACUGCGGAGUGUAGAGGUGAAAUUCGUAGAUAUUCGCAAGAACACCGGCGGCGAAGGCGGCCAACUGGACGAACGCUGACGCUGAGACACGAAAGCGUGGGGAGCAAACAGGAGUUAGAAACC
rnacentral:rRNA from 1 species